GACGAACGCUGGCGGCGUGCCUAAUACAUGCAAGUCGACCUUAGGGGCGAACGGGUGAGUAACACGUGGGUAACGUGCCCAGCAGAAGGCGAUAACACUUGGAAACUGGUGCUAAAACCGUAUACUGAUGGAUGGACCCGCGUUGCAUUAGCUAGUUGGUGGGGUAACGGCUCACCAAGGCAACGAUGCAUAGCCGACCUGAGAGGGUGACCGGCCACAUUGGAACUGAGACACGGCCCAAACUCCUACGGGAGGCAGCAGUGGGGAAUCUUCGGCAAUGGACGAAAGUCUGACCGAGCAACGCCGCGUGAGUGAAGAAGGUUUUCGGAUCGUAAAACUCUGUUGUUAGAGAAGCGGUAUCUAACCAGAAAGCCACGGCUAACUUCGUGCCAGCAGCCGCGGUAAUAC
rnacentral:rRNA from 1 species